UGAGGAGCAAGAUCUUGAGCGCCCAGUAUGUGCCGCCUUUGGUUUUAUUGUCAUCCGACUGUUUAUUGCUCGACGGACCACCGGCAGACAAUGCGCCGCUGCCACCGGGCUGCUUCUCUUGGCACAGACAAACGCGGCCGAAGGUGCCGGUGCCUGCAAGUUAAUGGAGCGAUUAAUCGAAAGACUAAUGAAAACGUCAAACUCCGUCUAGGCUUACCAAUGGUCUUCAAAAUCUCAAAGUCGUCCAAAUUGUGCUGAUUGUUUUGGUCGCGCUGCUGCUGAUCGUUCGAGGGGUCCAACUUGGUCGGGCCCAUUUUACGGCGGCGCCUCUUCUCACUCGGCUACUUUUAGUUGGUCAGACAAGUGUAGUGGUUAGUGCGGCCAACUCGAUCUCUUCAGCGGCCGUCGCGUGCCAUGAUUGAUGUCAACUCUGCUGACAGAGCAGCUGUCGCACGCUCUGAUUUUCAGCGCCAAUCGCGACUAAUUUAGCCUUAAGUGGGCGGCAAUCAAACGCCGCGAGGGCUGCAACCCCGGUGGACGCGGCCGCACCCUCACGUGCCCUCCUGCUCACAAAUUCGCCGCCGAGCGACUACUACUUCGACUCGGCUCCAGCCUCCAGACAGGACAGCCCAAGGGCAUGGAGCGCUGCAUCUCUCUUUCUCUCUCUCGCUGCUGAGAGCGGGUGGAGGGGGGAAAUUAGGUCUUCUCUUCCAUGUUGGACCUGUGCCUAGUUUGCUUGAUUGCUUGUUGUUGGUCGUCGAGUCAAGUCGAGCUCGCGCCGUCAGCCAAAGAGCGCCGCUCUCGUGAAUUCAAUCCUGCCCUCGCUCACUGUGGCGCUAAAUUACAACAGGGUUUAAAAUUACACCUCGUGGUCCGUCUUUGAACUGUCAACCCUUAACCAAAGAUUUACGACAUGUCUCCAUUCUGUUGACAUUAAUUUAUUCUGAAUUGAAGUGUGGUGCGACGUCCUCCAGCACUCCUGGCUCAAUGACUGUUAUGUCCUUCAUGUAGGCCUUACCAGUGUGCAGAAUUUCACUGUAAAUCAACCUGAGGACAAAAGAAAAACAAAUCCAUAACAUAUAGCACUGACGACGGGUGGAUGGCCAGCUCUAUAUCUCCCCUGACUGUUCUGUAGGCACCGGAGUGAUGCAGAUAUGCUGCAUUUGGGAAGAAGCCAGCUGCCAAGCACCUUGUCACCACUUCCGAACUUCCUAAAAAGAAAAAAAAAUAGUACAUGUUAUAGGUCUAUCCUGAAAGGACCAAUAUUGUUCAACACUAACCGUGGCAAGAUGCAAUUGGAAUAUUGAACUUCUUGUUAAGCAAUUUUUCCAUCCGAGAUCUGAUUUCGCAAGCCCUUUUCAAGGCCCUGCUGUUCAAUCCGCUCCGUGAGCACCAGUCUUUGGUUUUGUUGGACGCCAUGUAAGCGUUAUAGACGUUCAGCAAAGUGAGCAAAUCACCUUCCUCAACCUGUACCAAAAUUCAUUUUAUUUUAUUAUUUUAUUGAAGAAAAAAAAAUUAAGUCAAACUAACCUCAAAUUGCCUUCGAGCAACCUUGCACCUCAUGUUGCCUUGACCUGACGCUGGCUUGAGGAAAACAUUUUGUACUUGCAGCAUGGCCAUGAUUGACAGAAUUUCCUCACUACAUCCAUAUUCACCUGUGAAUUUAAUCAUAUAUAUAUUUGUCCUCUUAAUCAGAAUUCCAAAUUUGUACCUGAGGAAACAAGGCACUUGGCUUGGAGGGCGCUGCACGGAAGCUCAGCCAUGGUUGCCCCGAGAGGGUGUGUCAGUUGCCCUUCUCUGUCCAAACCACCAAGGGCAUACAAUAGUUCAAGGGCUGCCAACAAACUCGCAGCAGGAGGAGGCGAAGGGAACGUGAAACGCAGGACGUUAUCAAUGCCCAGGGCUUUCAACUGUAGUAGGGCCGAGGACAACUCUGACCGCUCCAUUUCCGGAGGGGUGGCCCUCUGCAGCUCAUUGUAAGCUUGCUCAGUGUAAAGUCGAAAACACAUUCCAGGUCGGACACGGCCAGCUCGACCUGCUCGCUGGUCAGCCGAGGCUUGUGAGACAGGGACGACGAUGAGUGCAUCCGUCAGUGAGGAGGUGUUAAACCAUCGAAGCUUCAUGUAGCCAGAGUCAACAACUAACCAAAAUAGGCAAAAUAGGUUAAAAAAUUUGAAAUUUAAUUGUAAAGAAUUGGGACAAUUUUUUUUUGUCCCCUAAUCCUAAUUCUAUUUACCAUAAACAAUGCCUGGGAUAGUGACUGAUGUUUCAGCAAUGUUUGUCGCAAUUACAAUUUUUCGGUGCCCUUCCUGGGCAUACCUGAACACCUUCAGCUGGUCACUAUUAGGUAGAGAUCCAUACAUGGGAAGAAUUUGCAUUUUCACUAAAAAAGAACUGCAUGUUCUUCUAAACGAGAAACCGCUCUGUCCACUUCCUCUUGACCAGUAAGGAAUGCAAGGAUGUCUCCAGAUGGCAAAUUCUGGUGAAUUUUCAAACAGGUGCUCACAACUCCAUCGACAUAAUCUGGGACAGGGUCUGCAAAAUAAAAUUAAGUAAAAAAUCAACUCAACACAAACCAAUUUUAACUAACCUAUGACAUAGUUGACGGUGA